GCAUGCACAGCCACAUGGAGCGGGUGACUGACAGCACGACAGGGAUCAUUCCGCUCGAGCCGGCAGAUCAUAGGCUCUAGCUGUUCAUCUCUCCCUCCGCCUUUCCUUCUGAAGCCUCAUUUUGGAUACAAACUAAAAUAUAACCUUCCUCCCUCCAUUUUUCUGCCUUGGUAUUCUCUAAACAAAAACAAAAGAGUGAUCAUCUCAGCAGAAAGGACUCAACUCUACUCAAGCUGAACUAAGCCAGGAAACGUCUUACAAGUGAACUCUCUAUACUAGUUCACUCGAUGUGUGUUUAAUGAGAAACGACGCUGCACCAAGUCCUCUUCUGUCACCAAGGAGCAGCAGGAGCAGAUGGGUGAAGUGUACGGUAUGUGAAUUAUACCUCAAUAGAGCUGCUACCAAACAAAGAAAACAAGAAAGAAGAGAUGGGAGAAGCAGACAGCCCCAAGAGCCAGGGCCAGGGAGGUCUGUGAGCCCUGCGAACUAGCUCUGGAGUAUGAGGCAGGGGCCAGGGCAAGACUGGGGGCAGCUGGGUAUAGGGCAGGUGGCCUGGACCCCCCCUGGGGACUUCCAGCCUGGACCGUGGGGUGUUGGCAGGAUCAUGAGGUCAGGAGCCAGCUCUCCAAGAUUCCAGUGAUGGCCUGGGCCCCAGAUUCCCCCUCCCUUAACAAAACCAGAGAGCAGACACAGUAAGGAAAGUCAGCCCCACUCCUGCUGUGCCACCAACAAGCACAGCACACACACUAAGAACCUUCCAGUAAGGACUCGCACCUUCCUGAAAUCAGGUGUCUGCGUCUGUCAUGAACGAAUCACCCAGGGUCCACAGCUCUGAGGACUGGAAGAGCCCACACAUUCUCGAGGACUGAGCUCUGCAUUUUCUAACUGAACAUCUUUGUGGCCUGCUGGCAGCAGCUCUUUCCCCACCGGUCACCUGGGACACUGAACUGAUGGUGCAGCAGGGGUGAGGGGUCCCGGGAUGCUCAAUGCGAUGGCCAGGGGAAGUCUGACCCAGGCGUGACACCCACCGUGGCAUCAUCCGAAGCUGCUGCAGAAGCAGAGACCCGGGCUCCAUCCUCGGCGUGACCCCCAGGGAGGGUCACCUCACCCUGCAGGAGCACCGCAGGGAAUGCCCUGGAGAGUGUCCCCAAUCUUAAGGGGCCAAAAGCAGAGUUGUCAAGAACUUCAGAGGAGAAUGAGCAGGGCCUGGUGACACCUGACAUGGGCACUGGGGUGACACGGACCAAGGGGAAUCCUCAGACUGCUGUCUAAAGCUGGGUGCAACCUUGGACUCAAGUGUUAGCAGUUAAUAUCCACAUCAUAUAAAGAACAGUCACAACUCAAGAAAGAAAAAGGAAAGCAACUCCAAAGAAAAAUGGGCAAAAGAGAGUUUUCUGAUGAAAACUGACUAUAGCUAAUAAACAUUUAAAAGAUGCUAAAAUUUCCAAGUAAUCAAUAGAAGUGAUAAGACAAGCUUUAUUCACCCAACAGAUUAAGAAAAAGACUAAGAAAGGUGAAAUCUAAUGCUGGUGAAAGUGUGUGGGGGAAGCAGGCCCCCCUGGGCCAGCGGGACAGCAUGUGUUAAACUCUGCAACGUGCAUACUCUGACCCAUCGAUUCCAGCUGGAGGCCUCCAGCCAGCUCCCAAAUGCACAGCAGUGAGCACAGGCACUCAAGGACAUUCACUGCAGCAGGAAAUCUACGGACAACCCAAAUGUCCUUCAAAAGAGGAACAAUUAGAUAAAUUAUUAAGUAAAUUAAACAACGCAGCAUCCACAGAAUAAGAUACUACGCAGGCAGAGAAGACUAAGUCGAAGGAGUACGUUAACAAUGGGCAUCUGGAGGAUGGGAUUUUAGGAGAAGACUUUCAAAUAACUUUGUGUUAUGUUAAAAUACAAAAAAAUCAGAAAAAAAAAUUCAAAGCAAACAGGUUGCUGAGUUGAUGGUAUGGACCCUUUUAGGUAAAAUAUAAAACCACGUCUCUGAGACAAACCUUUGUUCCCACAUCGGCCUGUAGCACAGACAGCUGGCCCUCAGCUGCAGGUCAACUUCUGCCCCGGCCCCUCCACCUGCCCUCCAAGUGGCAGCCAAAAUGGCAGCCUGAGGAGCCCCUCCAUCCCAGGACCAAAGGUAAUGCCUGAACAAGGCCUGGCAGCACACGCUGGCCUACCUCUCAGGAACCUCCCCCAACCCGCUGGUCUCAGGUCCCUCUCUCCUCCCACUCCCCACCCCCCAGCGCCCAGUUAACUCCUGGUCACGCAUCAGCAAUCCAUUUGUGAAGCUUAUUCUGGCCCUUCCCUUCCCAGUUUCCAUGGCUCAAGGUUUUCAUAAUACCCCGUGCUGUGCUUCAAAGAGCUCCUCUCUGUCUGAAAUUCAGUAUUUGUGUGACAUUACAUUAAUGUCUGUCCCCAGUUCUGAGUGCCACGAAAGCAGAGAAUCGGCGCUGCACCCAAACUCCCCAUAGCAUCUGCAGCAAAGCUGGGCGCGAUAUACACAAAAGCAGAGAGAAGAGUAGACUGUAUGCCCACAAAGCGGUCAUCCAGCUGCAAUAACUUGGCCGCUGCCAUCUGUCUAUCCACCCCCCACACCUUCUUCCUUCUUCUUGUUCUACUCAGGAAAGCUUCAGUACGUGCACGGAUGCUCUCUCACGCACACAAGUGCACGUAUAGAGGAGCUCUGUGUAGAUACUCAGGGGUCAUGGGGUACCCCGAACACACAACGAGCCUUCGUCACAGCCACCGUGAGUGCCACCCAGGCCUGUCUGCUCUGGGUCCCGGAGGCUGAGGCUGGACCCUUGGAAGGGCAGCCCCGCAGCUCAGGUGGUAAAGUUAUUUGGCCGCAAGCCGAGCACCUCCGAGCACAUCGCGCUGUCACACCCUUCCCGACCCGAACAAACACAAAGAGAUGCACCCCUUCGAGUCACCUACUUGGCUGAACUGUGCACCUGGUCACCCUCCGGGGAGCUUCCUUCGUGGGUAUUUUUCUCCCCUACACAAAGCGCGCCCACAGAGUAAAUGGAGGCCGACGAAAACAGGAAAGCCCGACCUUGCAGGGACUGAGGAGCCAAGGCCCCCAGAACACAGGGCUCACACUCGAAACUCAGACCCCAGAGAAGACAAACGAGGCCACAGGCUCCGUGUCCACUUGCAAAUUAAGAAAUACAGUAGGGAGGGUAAACCACAGCUACCAGAAGGAGCUGCUAGCCCUUACAGGUCAUGUAAUGAAAAGGGACAAAUGUGUUUAUCCUUAGCAGUCACAAGUCAUUUCACAGCUGUGACUUUCGGCAGCCACUGCUGUGGAGGCAGCACGGGCUUGUGGAACAUCUCCAUCACCAACUCAGGCAAAAGUCCCUAUUCCCGAGGUGCACUGUCUGAAGGAAAAACAAGUUAAAGUAAAAAGACUUUUUUAAUAGUCAAUAUUUUAAAACACAUGAAAGGUGGUUGUUAAAAGCCCGAUAAAAAAUUCAGAGAUUUAUUUGCGCCAGUGCCUUAUCCAGAUCACAGGGCUGCUUACACUGGACUCCCUCGGCCAGAUACACUGAGAGGGAAUGCAGCAGAGAAGCCCAGGCUGACAGGGUCUGUGGCCACACUGAACCAGCUCCCUCCUCCCCCAAUCGCCACCAAGCCGCAUCUCCACCGCCACCCCCCCACCCCUGAGACUGAGAGUGAUAGGCACUCAGUAGGAGAUGGUAACGGGAGGAAGGUGGACCUCAGCCUUCCUGGAUUAAGCCAGCAUCUGAGAAUCUCAGAGGUCUUUGCGUCACUGUAUCUUAUAUUUCAGGAAAAAAAUGAAUUUAGAAAACUUAUCUUCUACGCAGAUGCCAAAUCAUUUUCACAAGCGGUGAGUUUUCACUGCAGCACCAUCCUCCUGAACCGAGCCACCUUGGGAUGCCUCUCAGUUCCCUGGGUGUAGGCACCCCGCUGGCUGCAGAGCCUACCCUCAACCUCUGGCCAACGCCCAUUUCAGUAAACAGAGAAAACCCACCCGAUUUAGCCUGAACAAUAAGGAAUUAACGAGUCUACUCUGAAGAAUGGUGAGGACUUCCCUGGUGGAGCAGUGGUUAAGAAUCUGCCUGCCAAUGCAAGGGACACGGGUUCAAGUGUACUGUAGAGCAACUAAGCCUGCGAGCCACAACUACUGAGCCUGCGUGCCACAACUUCUGAAGCCCACGCGCAUAGAGCCCGUGCUCCGCAACGAGAGAAGCCACCACAAUGAGAAGGCCGUGCACCACAACCAAGAGUAGCCCCCGCUCGCCGCAACUAGAGAAAGCCCAUGCACAGCAAUGAAGACCCAACUC